GCGGCUUUUGAGGAUGUCUUUUGUCCGCAUCGUUAUGCCCUCCAUUGCACAAGUGUCUUGGAGAGGAAACAAAGACUAGUC
rnacentral:telomerase_RNA from 1 species